UAUGUAGGGUGCGAGCGUUGUCCGGAAUUAUUGGGCGUAAAGGGCUCGUAGGCGGUUUGUCGCGUCGGGAGUGAAAACACCGGGCUUAACUCGGUGCUUGCUUUCGAUACGGGCAGACUAGAGGCAUGCAGGGGAGAACGGAAUUCCUGGUGUAGCGGUGAAAUGCGCAGAUAUCAGGAGGAACACCGGUGGCGAAGGCGGGUCUCUGGGCCGUAACUGACGCUGAGGAGCGAAAGCGUGGGGAGCGAACAGG
rnacentral:rRNA from 1 species